rnacentral:tRNA from 1 species
GCACUAAUAGCUUAUACUUUUCAAAGCUUUACUUUGAAGAGGUAAAAAAGAGAUUCAUCUCUUAGUGCU